UACGGAGGGUGCAAGCGUUAAUCGGAAUUACUGGGCGUAAAGCGUGCGUAGGCGGUUCGUUAAGUCUGUUGUGAAAGCCCCGGGCUCAACCUGGGAAUGGCAAUGGAUACUGGCGAGCUAGAGUGUGUCAGAGGAUGGUGGAAUUCCCGGUGUAGCGGUGAAAUGCGUAGAGAUCGGGAGGAACAUCAGUGGCGAAGGCGGCCAUCUGGGACAACACUGACGCUGAGGCACGAAAGCGUGGGGAGCAAACAGGAUUAGAUACCC
rnacentral:rRNA from 1 species